CACCCCUCAAGUCAAACUUUUUGGUUAACUUGACGUUGGGCAUUGCCUCGGGGGCAUGCCUAAAAGUCAAUGAUGGUACGUCAAACCACGGGCACAUAAAUGUUGUCACGUUGGGGCGGCGGCACCAGUCUCGCGAUUAAUUUCUCCA
rnacentral:misc_RNA from 1 species